UGGGGAAUAUUGCACAAUGGGCGGAAGCCUGAUGCAGCGACGCCGCGUGAGGGAUGACGGCCUUCGGGUUGUAACCUCUUCAGCAGGGAAGAAGCGCAAGUGACGGUACCUGCAGAAGAAGCACCGGCUAACUACGUGCCAGCAGCCGCGGUAAUACGUAGGGUGCGAGCGUUGUCCGGAAUUAUUGGGCGUAAAGAGCUUGUAGGCGGUUUGUCGCGUCUGCUGUGAAAAUCCGGGGCUCAACUCCGGACUUGCAGUGGGUACGGGCAGACUAGAGUGUGGUAGGGGAGACUGGAAUUCCUGGUGUAGCGGUGGAAUGCGCAGAUAUCAGGAGGAACACCGAUGGCGAAGGCAGGUCUCUGGGCCACUACUGACGCUGAGAAGCGAAAGCAUGGGGAGCGAACAGGAUUAGAGUACCCUGGUAGUCCAUGCCGUAAACGUUGGGCGCUAGGUGUGGGGCUCAUUCCACG
rnacentral:rRNA from 1 species